rnacentral:lncRNA from 1 species
CUAGCUACUUAAUUAUUGUUUUUUGACAUUGACUCUACUAUUGCAGAGAGUUUUCAUUUGGCAGUUCCUUUCAAGAGGACAAUCCUGAAAGAUUAAUUAGGAGACAGAACUGUUGAUGUCAUCUUUCACAUGCUUUGCAGAGGGCAUGUAGCUGCUCAUUACCCUGAAACACAAAUCCUGUGUGCAAACUGGCCCUGAAUCUGUAUUCUGGGACUCAAUAAGGGACAACAAGUCUUCCAGAAAGCAGCCUUUCCCAUGCUGGUACUGUGCCACCUGUUUGCCCUGGAUGCUGUA